AACGAACGCUGGCGGUAUGCUUAACACAUGCAAGUCGAACGAACAUAUUGAUUCGGUUAAUAAGUUAGUGGCAGACGGGUGAGUAACGCGUGGGAAUGUACCCUUUAGUUCAGAAUAACUACGGGAAACUGUAGCUAAUACUGGAUAAGCCCUUCGGGGGAAAGAUUAAUCGCUAAAGGAACAGCCCGCGUUAGAUUAGGUAGUUGGUGAGGUAAAAGCUCACCAAGCCGACGAUCUAUAGCUGGUUUGAGAGGAUGAUCAGCCACACUGGGACUGAGACACGGCCCAGACUCCUACGGGAGGCAGCAGUGGGGAAUAUUGGACAAUGGGGGCAACCCUGAUCCAGCAAUACCGCGUGAGUGAAGAAGGCCUUCGGGUUGUAAAGCUCUUUUACCGGGGAAGAUAAUGACGGUACCCGGGGAAUAAGCUCCGGCUAACUUCGUG
rnacentral:rRNA from 1 species